UACGUAGGGGGCAAGCGUUGUCCGGAAUCAUUGGGCGUAAAGCGCGUGUAGGCGGUUCAGUAAGUCUGCUGUGAAAGUCCAGGGCUCAACCCUGGGAUGCCGGUGGAUACUGCUGGGCUAGAGUACGGAAGAGGCGAGUGGAAUUCCCGGUGUAGCGGUGAAAUGCGCAGAUAUCAGGAGGAACACCGGUGGCGAAGGCGGUUCUCUGGGAAUAUCCUGACGCUGAGGAGCGAAAGUGUGGGGAGCGAACAGG
rnacentral:rRNA from 1 species